UUCCUGGUGGUCCAGUGGUCAGACUCUGUGUUCCCAAAGCAGAGAGCCUGGGUUCAAUCCCUGGUCAGGGAA
rnacentral:tRNA from 1 species